rnacentral:rRNA from 1 species
AUGAGCGUCCGCCGCCCUCUCCGGCGCACCCGCUCCUUUGGGGACGCCGACGCCGUCUUCGACCUGUCCUGCGUCGCCCCCGAGCCUGCGCCUGCCCCCGCACCGGCUCCUGCUGCUCCGGCGCCCAUCCGCGCCCCGAUCCUCCGCGCGCGCGCUCCAGCGCCCCUGCGCGCCCCUGCUGCUCCCGGCCGUGCGCUCGCCCUGGCAGCGCUGGCCGCCCAGGUCCCCGUCGCUUCUCCUCCAUCCAUGCAUCACAUUAAUAUCUCGUCCUUCAUCCCCUUCAAGCUCAGCCUGGACGCCAACAAUUGCUCGAAAUGGCGCCAGCUCUUCGCCUUUGUACUAACCAAGUACCAGGUCGAGGAUCACGUCGAGGAAGCCGUUGACCCCCUGCAUGCUGAUGCCGUCUGGAGGAACGAUGACAUUACCAUCGUACUCUGGAUCUACGCCACGAUCUCCGAUGAACUCUACGACGUGGUCCAGUCGCCGAACAACACCGCGUACCACCUCUGGCGCGAGCUGGAGGUCUUCUUCCGCGACAACGCCGCCGGCCGCACCGUCCACAUCGGGGCGGAGUUCCGGGCUACGGUACAGGGCGAUCUGAGCAUCGCCCAGUACUGCCGUCGCCUGAAGCAGCUCUCCGACGCCAUGGCCGACGUGGGCGAGCCCGUCACCGACCGCUCCCUCACGCUGCAGCUUGUGCGGGGCCUCAGCCGCCGCUUCCACGUCAUGGCUACCUUGCUUCCCAUGCAGGUGCCGUUUCCCACGUUCAACCAGGCGCGCUCCCGUCUCCUGCUGGAGGAGAUCUCGCUGGGUGAGCGGGAACGCACCGAGGGGGCCGGGGCUCUCUCCAUCGGGCACGGCGGCGGCUCGUCGUCUGGCAACUCCGAGCGCGGUGGCGACCGCGGUGAGCGCCAGCCUCCUCCGUCCCCAACUGACAAGGGCAAGGGGGCGGCCACUCCACCCUCCGGCGACCGCCAGCGUGGCGGGCGCGGACGUGGGCGCGGCUCCAACACCUCAUCGCCUGCUCCACUCGGGCGCGGCCAACAGCCGUGGCUCGGGUACUUCGCGCCGUGGGGCUCCCCGGCGCCCUCCCCACAGCAAUGGCGGGCGCCUUGGAUGCCGCCCAACUCCGCCGGGGUCCUCGGCCCACGCCCGGAGCUCCGCACCAAGCCUACCCCGUCGGCGUGCCGUCCUCGUCGUCCCCGCCUCCAUGGGACCAGCAGCAGGCCAUGA